UACAGAGGUCUCAAGCGUUGUUCGGAUUCAUUGGGCGUAAAGGGUGCGUAGGUGGCGGGGCAAGUUUGGUGUGAAAUCCCGGGGCUCAACCCCGGAACUGCACUGAAUACUGCUUUGCUUGAGCACUGGAGAGGGAACUGGAAUUUACGGUGUAGCAGUGAAAUGCGUAGAUAUCGUAAGGAAGACCAGUGGCGAAGGCGAGUUCCUGGACAGUUGCUGACACUGAGGCACGAAGGCUAGGGGAGCAAACGGGG
rnacentral:rRNA from 1 species